rnacentral:lncRNA from 1 species
GAACAGGGCUAGGCACAUCCCUCUUGUUCACUGUCGUCCUUUCCAACAGGACUAGAAGAAGCCCCUUGGAUGCGGUAGCAUUUAUUCCUGGCCUUGAAGGACAGCUGAGAGGGAUCGUGGGAGUGGAGAGACCAUCUAAGUCCUCCAUGUCUGGCCUUUUGACGUCUGUGAGGUUCAGCAAAGUCCCUCCUCUCUGCGGAGCCUUCAGAGCACUGGGUGAUAAGCACAGGGCUCAGCCACCUCCCUGUGGCCUGCACAUUGUCUGGCACUGGAGACACUUGUUGUCAACACCAUCCCCGGGCCCUGCCGCUCC